rnacentral:rRNA from 1 species
UACGGAGGGGGCUAGCGUUGUUCGGAAUUACUGGGCGUAAAGCGCACGUAGGCGGCUUUGUAAGUUAGAGGUGAAAGCCCAGGGCUUAACCCUGGAAUUGCCUUUAAGACUGCAUCGCUAGAAUCGUGGAGAGGUGAGUGGAAUUCCGAGUGUAGAGGUGAAAUUCGUAGAUAUUCGGAAGAAACACCAGUGGCGAAGGCGACUCACUGGACACGUAUUGACGCUGAGGUGGCGAAAGCG